GGGCUGAUGAGGUAAAAGAGGAUAAGAAAGAUGAUGGACGGGAUGAUGAUAAGAAAGUUGACGUGGUAGAAGAAAUAAAAGAAGAUAAGAAAGAUGAUGGGGUGGAAGAAGUAAAAGAGGAUAAGAAAGAUGAUGCGGUGGAAGAAGUGAGAGAGGAUAAGAAAGAUGAAGGGGUGAAAGAAGUAAAAGAGGAUAAGAAAGAUGAUGGGGUGGAAGAAAGAAAAGAGGAGAAGAAAGAUGACGCGGCUGAUGAAGUAAAAGAGGAGAAGAAAGAUGAUGGUGUGGAAGAAGUAAAAGAGGAGAAGAAAGAUGAUGAGGCUGAUGAAGUAAAAGAGGAGAAGAAAGAUGAUGGUGUGGAAGAAGUAAAAGAGGAUAAGGAAGUUGACGGGGGAGAAGUAAAGGUGGAAAAGAAAGAUAAUGAAAUUGAAGGGGGAGAAGUAAAAGAGGACAU
rnacentral:lncRNA from 1 species